UACAGGGGGGGCAAGCGUUGUUCGGAAUUACUGGGCGUAAAGGGCUUGUAGGUGGCCGACUAAGUCCGACGUGAAAUCCCCAGGCUUAACCUGGGAACUGCGUCGGAUACUGGUUGGCUUGAAUCCGGGGGAGGGAUGCGGAAUUCCAGGUGUAGCGGUGAAAUGCGUAGAGACCCGGAGGAACACCAGUGGCGAAGGCGGCUUCCUGGUCUGCGACUGACGCUGUGGCGCGAAAGCUAGGGGAGCAAACAGG
rnacentral:rRNA from 1 species